AGGGUUGUUCUCUGUCCUUCUUUCUAGGAAGUGAAGCCAGAUAGCAGCAGUCAAGGUCAAGUGAGCGAGGUGUGCCCUGCGACGACGGCGUCGGCCUCUGAGUGUGGCCGGAGCAGGCGGGCCGAGGACCCGGGCAUUCUUAGGAGAUGAGGCAGAUGGAUUAAAUCCCUGGCAGAGU